CGGCUUCGCGGCGGCCGGUCGGGCUUGGGUUCCGGGGGCAGGGAGGGCAGCGGAGGAGUCUGGGCGGCCGGGCUUCACGGCUCCUCCGCGGGGUCGCGGAAGCGGGCUGGGAAAACUCGGCUGUGGCAGACCCCGCUCGGCGCCGACCCGGGCCGCGCGAGGAGGGGCCGGGCAGGUUCCCAGUGUGCUGCCGCAUCGGGGACGGCGACUUGGGCGUCCCGGCGGGGAUCCUGACGCGGCUUUGAGAUCCGGAGGUGGCGCGGCCCUCAGAGCCGCCGAGUUCCAGGUUGUCAGCUUUCGGAGAAGGUGGACCUUUUUUCCGAGCCACCCCGGGUCGCAGUCUUGAACCCUAAGAAAAGAUGUGGAGUGGUCUGUUACCUCCUGGGUUAAAUGAAAGCGAUGUUGAAUCAGAUUCUGAAGAUGAAGCUACACUAGAGAAUCCAGAACUUAAUUUACAGGAAGAUGGAGAGACUGACAGCAGUAGGAACCCAAAAAUGUCAGAUUUCCCAGCAGGCAAGCCAGAAACUGAAACAGAGGCUGAUGCAGAUGCAUAUGAAAAGUGUCCUUCUGGAAUUCCCCUGAACAUGUGGAACAAAUUUCAAGAAUUGCAUAAAAAACAUUCUGAGCAGAAAAAUUCAGCAUCAAGAUUCAAACAGAAAAAAAGAAAACGCUGCAGAAAAGGCAAACUGAAAAAUGAAAAAGAAUCUCACAGUGAGCAGUCCUCAAGUGACACCCAGUGGAAGGAGCUUACUCAGUAUUUUGGAGCCAAUGAUAGAUUUGAACCCCCUGUUAAGCAGAAAAAAGUUGAGAAGUCAGGCCUUGAAAAGAGGAUAGACCAGGCUGUGGAGGAAUGGGAUGUUGAAAAGGCCGAAGAGCUCAGCAACCAGCUAGCUACUCGAGAGGCAAACAUGUCAGCCUGUGUAUGCAAGCACUUCAAGUUGACAUUGAAACAAGAUGCCAGAGAUACAAAGAAAAGAAUUUUGUUCAAAAUUCUACUGAUCGAGCUGCGUCAUAGCUUGGACUGUUGUCGGAACACUGGCAUCCCAGGUGUAACCAUGGAAAGAAAGACUAUUGCAACAUUGACUACGGCAGAUACCACCUUAAGCUGGGCUCGGUGUAAAAAUUGCCCAAGCAAUUGCCUGCCACAAGUUUGUUAAAGCCAAAAGGGAGGCUGAAAACUCACAAGCUGCUCGAAAGAAGAAGAAACUGGCGUGGGGGUUUGAAGCAAAGAAGAGAUGGGAAACUAAAAGCAACAUGGGAUAUAUGUAGCCUUACAGAGUUCUUCAGGACGUUUAUUGAUAGACUAUCAUGCUUCAUUUACCAAAAAGAGUUUCCUGCCUAGGUUAAAAAAUGUCAAAAAAUUGCUAGGGCUGGAAAAAGAUAAGCCUAAGACUUGGGAACUGAUUAUAAACUCUUUUCAAUCUUUUUUUCUAAGAAGUCUGUGAAGGAAAUUAACAUUUUUAUAUUUAUGUGAGAAAUUUUAAGCAUUUGUAUAAGAAAAAAGGAUAGGGUUUUAUUUGUAUAAGCCUGCAGUUUAAAAUCAAGUUUGUGUUUCAUCUGUUUGGUCUAGCAUAGCCUGUGAGGUCCUUAUAUUCCCUUAUCUAGUCUUAGUAUGGCUGCACUUUUUCUAGAAUUGUGUUUUUCAUAUUGGCUUUUGUUUAUAAUGGAUUAGUCAUAAAUAGAAAAAUUCUCAAUUGUUGCUAACUUUACAAAUGACUUUAAAUUACUUUAAUGCUAUAAAAAUAAUUAUUGAUUCUUUUUGGAGGCAGUAGAAUUAAUGUUUUGUUGUCACCUAGUUAAAGGAAUUGGUUAAUUUUGUGUAAUGUCAAUGGAAGUAAUUACAGUAAAAAGUGGACAUGAUGUAUCUGGAGAAUGAUUUAAGUUCAGCUUUGCCUAGAAAACAUCUUUCUAAAUAUUUCUCAACCAUGUCAUUCUUUAAAUUAUGAUUGUGCUAACAGAUAGUUGUAACUCGGGAUAUCAUAACUUUGGAUUGUCUAACAGCUCAUUUGUUUUUACCUCUUCCCCCACUACUGCUUAAAUAGAAUGAAUUAAUGAGGCUAAAAAGAGAGUUAAUACCUGGGAAGUCAUUGUCCUUAAGUAUGUGUUUUACAGUCCUAGUGGGAAGAGGCUUUCAAAAGUCAUUUGAUAACUGGCAAGACUACAUGUGGAUACUGUGGAAAAUGAGUCAUGAUUAUAAUUACAUUAUUUUUAGAUUUAGCAGUAACAGUUUUAUUAACUUAUGGUGAUAUGUAAAUUUGCUUUAUAUAAAGAAUAAGUGAAUAA